UUCAUGCCAUUUUAUUGAAUUGUGAUAUUUGCCUGACAAUGUCUUCUUCUUUUUGAAUGUUUACAAGUAAAAUGUGCUAGAAUCAUGUAUGUUUCUUUUACUUAUUAUUAUAAUUUUUUUUGCCUUAUUUAUUUAUUUGUUUGUUCUUUACUUGUGGUUUAAUAAUAUAGACUUGUGCUCGGUUUUAAUAUCUCUAUAGUUCAUUCUAGUUAACUAGGAGAAGUGGUAUUAGUGAUGUGACUCCAUGGAUUUUGGUAUUGUGAAGUAGAACAAGUCAAUAUUUACAGUAAGUUAAAGUCACUAAUUCUUAUUGCAGAGCUAAAACAAUGACAUUAUUUUGGACCUUUAUAGUCUAUUUAAUAAAGUAUGUAAUUGUCUGUUCAGUGAUCCUCCCCCCUCCAAAAAAAUAGAACUUUGAAUGAAUAAAGUCUGUCUAGUCAACUUAUUUGGUUUAAGUGUGAAAGUGUAUCUGUUAGUAUUAUAUUUUUUUAUCAAUGCUUUAUUUGUGCUAUUUAUUUUCUCUUACAGCUUGGUGGAGGUUAUCUAUUUGGGUUGCCUUUGGGGUUCGUUGCUGAUUCUAUUGGUGCAACAAUUGGUGCUACAGCUGCAUUUAUUCUUGGUAGAACAAUUAAGCAUGCCCAGCAUCUUACACCUGGGACUGCAGACCGAUUUGGUGAACUAGGGAUUAUUGCUUCAGUACAGGUUCAUCACAGCUCUCUGUUGCACUCUAGUAACAUACUGUAACAUUUAAGAAUUUGGAAAUAUCUUGUCUUGAAAAGAAUUUGGAUAUGAGACUCGGUGUAGUCACCAAAGAAACUAAACCUGGUCUAACUGGUUGUUGAGAUCAUCUGCACUUUGGUCAGGAAAUUAUCUCCUAAUCCUAAUAGUGCUGCUAUAAUGGCCAUGGGUGUUAACAUCUUGGCAAAGAGAUUGAAAUGAUUGGGGUUCUUGAUUGAGUUUUUAUCCCAUGCUGCCAUUGUUGGGUUCAUGGGAGGAGCUGCCAUUAUAAUUGCCCUUCAGCAGCUCAAAGGAUUGCUUGGCAUAAAAAAGAAUUUCACAAAGAAGACAGAUAUUGUCUCUAUUUUGCGCUCAGUGUUUAAUUCAACCCACCAUGUUGUAAUAUGAUUUCUUAAGCCUAGACUAGUAGACUAAAUAUUGUAAUUACAUUUGAGUAAUUAAUACAAAUCUAUUUAUGUUACCUUAUUUGGUUUCAACUUUCA